rnacentral:rRNA from 1 species
AUUGAACGCUGGCGGCAGGCUUAACACAUGCAAGUCGAGCGGGGUGAUGGUGCUUGCACUAUCACUUAGCGGCGGACGGGUGAGUAAUGCUUAGGAAUCUGCCUAUUAGUGGGGGACAACAUCUCGAAAGGGAUGCUAAUACCGCAUACGUCCUACGGGAGAAAGCAGGGGAUCACUUGUGACCUUGCGCUAAUAGAUGAGCCUAAGUCGGAUUAGCUAGUUGGUGGGGUAAAGGCCUACCAAGGCGACGAUCUGUAGCGGGUCUGAGAGGAUGAUCGGCCACACUGGGACUGAGACACGGCCCAGACUCCUACGGGAGGCAGCAGUGGGGAAUGUUGGACAAUGGGGGGAACCCUGAUCCAGCCAUGCCGCGUGUGUGAAGAAGGCCUUAUGGUUGUAAAGCACUUUAAGCGAGGAGGAGGCUCUUUUGGUUAAUACCCAAGAUGAGUGGACGUUACUCGCAGAAUAAGCACCGGCUAACUCUGUGCCAGCAGCCGCGGUAA